rnacentral:rRNA from 1 species
GAGAGGCGAGGUUGGCCAAAUUGUGGCCUCUGCAAGCUUUGCAAUAGGGAACAAGAAACGGGUGCCCACCUUUUCUUCAAGUGUCGCUAUACGAUUCGGCUAUGGAAGUCUCUCAUUGAGUUGCUUGGUCUCGCGCACAUGGAUACGCCCGAGUGGCACAUGGACAAAUUCGUCUUCGAAUGAUGGGACAAAAGAACCGACAACCGUAACCCCAACCGGCAAGCUUUGGCCUCUCUCACCAUGCUUGUAUCAUGGACCAUUUGGAAGGAAAGAAACGCUCGGGUAUUUCUGUGA